AUUGAACGCUGGCGGAAUGCUUUACACAUGCAAGUCGAACGGCAGCACGGACUUCGGUCUGGUGGCGAGUGGCGAACGGGUGAGUAAUGUAUCGGAACGUGCCCAGUCGUGGGGGAUAACGUAGUGAAAAUUACGCUAAUACCGCAUACGAUCUAUGGAUGAAAGCGGGGGAUCGCAAGACCUCGCGCGAUUGGAGCGGCCGAUAUCAGAUUAGGUAGUUGGUGGGGUAAAGGACCACCAAGCCAACGAUCUGUAGCUGGUCUGAGAGGACGACCAGCCACACUGGAACCGAGACGCGGUCCAGACUCCUACGGGAGGCAGCAGUGGGGAAUUUUGGACAACGGGCGAAAGCCUGAUCCAGCCAUUCCGCGUGCAGGAUGAAGGCCCUCGGGUUGUAAACUGCUUUUGUACAGAACGAAAAGGUUUCUACUAAUACUAGGAGCUCAUGACGGUACUGUAAGAAUAAGCACCGGCUAACUACGUGCCAGCCGCCGCAGUAA
rnacentral:rRNA from 1 species